GAAAACAAAUAGCCCCCCACCAGCAAAAAAAACACCCAAACAAACACAAAAGACACAAACAAACCAAACAAAACAAUCAACACCUCGACAGUUUCAUCGCUUAAAUUAAAAUAACUUAAAUUUAUCAACCUUUGAGUCUCUUAGGCGUUUUCAUACAUUUUUUCUUAAAAUUCUUCUAUUUUUUAAUAGCAUUUGAAGCAAACUGUGAGGCAAGAUUUACUCUAUGAGUCAGAAAAUGAAUGGCUUCUUAUUUCCCAACACACACCCACAUGAAAUGAUUCUUGGAACAGUAGAUGAAUACACAGAUCCUGUACACUGUACUUUUUGUCACAGAUAACCGGUAUUUCAAAUACAUAUAUAUUAUGUUAAUAAAACUGAUUUCUUGGAAAAGAUUUACUAACUGUUUUGACCUAGAUAUCUGAUAUUUUUUUAAAACAACUUUGAUUUCAAAAAACACACACACAUACAUGUAUCUGUUUUUCUCACAGUGGCACUAACUGUCAUCCCUAUAGUAUGUGCAUAUACAUGAAUUAUCAUGGCUCCAUUAUGCGCGUUUCUUCUCGUUCUUGGUGUCAUAACAAACUGAUCUUAUCAUUGGCAACAGUCUAUGAUAACCAGAACCCUGUCACACUUGCCACUUCUUGAUAUGAUAGCAUCUGAAAUUUAUUUUACAUCAAAGACGUCGGAUCCCAUUCAUUUCUACAAUUGUGUGAUUUUCAUGAAAAAUUUACACGAGUUAGAAUCACUAGAAAUAUACAUGUAUAUCAAAAUCAAUCCAAAGAACCCGUAAAAUCGAACGAGAUUUUCAGUGUAAAAAAUGACCAUGUCUGACAUCGACUUCGUUUUUAUGGGGCACAUGCCAAAAUGCAACAUGCCGUUAUUUUUCUUCAUUUUUUUUAAAAGUACUGCGUUAAUCUUUAAAAAAGAUUAUGCACAUCAUUAAGAGGCCGAUUUAUGAAACAAAACAACUAUGAGAGUGUGCUUAGCAUUUUUUAUGAUAAAAUACUUCAAACCUUAAUCACAGGGACGGUUUCACUAACUCACUACAGUACUGUGACAUCCCCUACAGAAGUGCAUGUUUUAUUUAUAGCAAGUUCAGUCACUGCUUGCACUGUACAAAGGGUGUAUUCAUGACGAAGAACAGCUAUUUGCAUCAUAAACGAUUUUUCGUUGUGUUUUAGUGGUUUCAGGAAUAAGAAAUCUUCUUUGAGUAUUAUGAGGUGAUAAUUUCGAUCGGGGCGUGAUCAAAUCCAUUAAAGCCCAAAGGGUUUUAUGAUAGAUUUGAUCACGUCCCGACCGAAAUUAUCACCUCAUAAUAUUCAAAGAAUAAUUCCUUAUUACUUACAUUUGUAUAAUUUUAAGCCAUUAUACGAUUAAAUAUUUAAAUAUAAAUAAGCAAACCCCGCUGGUGCCCCGAAUAUACGUUAUUUUAGGUUAUGGGUUAUAUAGUACAAAAUUUUACUUUAUGAGCAAUCACUACUUGACUAGGGGGCGGAAAACCACAAAGCUGCAUAAACUUUUGACCUUAUGUUUAAUUAAACAAGAGAUGUUUGUCUGUCAAAAAAUGCUUGAUUGUACCCAAAAUUAAACUUGACCUAGAUAUAAUAUUAUCAUAAUGAUAAACCUUUGUACCAAAUUUCAUUUCAAUAUGUGCAUCCUCUGGGAAGAAAAUGAACUGAAACUGCAAAUAAUUGGAAUUUUCUAUAAUUGGAAUAACUCAGUCGAAAAUUGCUUGAUCAUACCGAAAAUCAAAUUUUACCUAGAUUUACUAUGAUAAAAACAUUUAUACCAAAUUUAUAAUUUCAUUUCAAUAUGUGCAUCCUCUGCGAAGAAAAUGAACGGAAACUGUUGGUGGACCAACUGACAGACAGCAGCAAAGCAAUAUGCCCUCUCUUCUUUGAAAGGGGGCAUAAAAACCUUUUAACCAUAUGUUUAAUUGAAAAAAAAAUCUUGUGAUAGUUGAAAAAGAUAAAAGUUUUCAUACGGAAACUAUUUUCUGCAAUGUACAGUAUUCUAAAUUGACCUUUAACAUGUGAUCUCAAAAACAAUAGGGGUCUUAUUUAAAUCAUAGGAACUUGUUAAGAAAAUAAAGAGCUUUUAAAAUAUUGGUCUUAAAUAAAAACCAGAUAACAGAUAUAAUGUUUUAAGUUGAUGACUUUCAUCUUUCACCGUUUAACCUCAACAUUAACACGAGACCCAUGGGCUAUAUCCCUAACCUAAGCAACGAAACACAUAAUUAAAUCAGCUUUAUGGAGUCACGUACAAAAUAUCUGAACAAUUUAGUAGAAUAGAUCCUGAAUUAAAAGAUUUUCAAAUAUUUCUCCAGAUAUUCAUAUGUUAGACACUGAUCCCUUUUUGUAACAGGAUGAUUUUACAGUCAUAUCACAUAUUGGGCAUCGCAGUUCUCAAGAACAAAGUGGAAAUUUCCUCACAAACUUCAGCUAUUUUGGCCAAUUAGUUAUUUAGAGCCAAGCAGUUCUGGAGAAGAAGUUGAAAAUGUUUACAGACAGGCAGACAGACAGACAGAAGUGAUCAGAAUAGCUGAAAGCUCAAGUUUGUGGCCGAGAGGAAAUUCAAAGCACUCACCCUGUCUGAAUUCAUUAUCUGAAAUCUCUGGGAUAUAUCUGAGGGGUUAGCAGGCAGACGAGUUCUUCCAGAGACAAAUCUAAGGAACUGUAUCCUCUCCUCAUUGCUGAACGAAUCCAGAACCUCCCAAAACCAACAGACUACUUCAUUCUUCUCAUCAAUUCCCCGGACAUCUACUGACAUUUCCUCCAUCCCACAGACCAGCUGUUCCAGGUUUUUAGGGGUCAACAAAGUCAGAAGUGGGACCGGGAUAAUCCAGGACAUGCCUUCACGCACAGCAGCAGCCUGCAACAGCAUAAGCAACUG